UUUUGUUUCUGAUUUGUUGCCCCUAUGAAACAAUGCUGCAAUAAACACCAUUACAUAUUGUUCCUUUUAUUUCUAUAGGAUAGAUUCCUGAGAGUGAGAUUCCUGGGUUAAAAGAGAUUCCUGGGUCAAAAGUGCAUUUUUAUUUUGAAUAUAUGUUGCCAGGCUUCUUUCCAAAAUGGUUGUAAUAAGUAACAUGUCUACAAGUGAAGAAUAUGAGUACCUUCCUCCCAGCAUCGCCAGCAAUCAGUGUUACCAUAUUUUCGAACCCUUGGCUCUGAGUGGAUAUAUAAGCCCCAGUCCAUAGUUGUAUAUUCUAGUUGUAAGUCCUCUUAGUUCUAUGUGAGCCACCACCACAGCAUGGCUACUGAAAGAUGAGUGGUGUGGUUCCAUGCCUGUGAACUGAUCCUGGGAUGCCAAAAUGGAGCCUGCUGAACUUUAACCACUAGAUGAUCAGGGCUGACUCCUCACAGGUAUUACUUCAUAGAAGUGACAUAAGAAUUUAAUAGAGUAAGGCAUGUAAGUGCUCAAGCGCUAUUUUUUUCUAAAGAUGUUAUUUUUUAGAGAAGGUUUAUGUUUACAAGAAAAUUGAGAGGACGGUACAGAGAUUUCCAGCAUACCCCCUACCCCCACACAUGCACAGCCUCCCCAACUGUCAACAGCAUUCACCAGAGUGGUACACUUAUCUUUUUUUACCAAAGAUGAACUUAUAUUGACAAAUCAUAAUCACCCGGAGUCCAUAGUUUACUUAAAGUUUCACUCUUGGUAUUAUACAUUCAUUGGUUUUGGACAAAUGUAUAAUGUAAACAUUAGGACAAAUGUAAAAGUAUAUUGAUUGUUAAAAUAUCAUGCAGAGUAUCUUCACUUCCCUAAAAAUCCUCUGUGCACUGCCUAUUCAUCUUCUUUCCCUCUCCAGCAACCACUGAUCUUUUUGUUAUCUCCAUAGUUUUGCCUUUUCCAGAAUGUCAGAGUUGGAAUCAUACAGGAUGUAGCCUUCUCAGAUUGGCUUCUUUCACUUAGUAAUAUGUAUUUAACUUUCCUCCAUGUCAUUUCACAGCUUGAUAGCUCAUUUCUUUUUAGCACUGAAUAAUAUUCCAUUGUCUGAAUGGACCAGAAUUUAUUUAUCCAUUCACCUAUUGAAGGACAUCUGGGUUGACAAGAGCUAUUUUUAAUAUUGUGAAAUGGAAAUUGUGUAAAAUUUUCUUUACACUUUGUGGGCUCAAUCAUUCUCAUAAAAAUAUCCCAUCAUUUUUAUAAAAUAUCUCUCUGUCUAUAUGAUAAAAUGUCACAUCUAAGUUAGAGGAUGAAGUGAGCCACAAUGCCUGGAGAGAACAAAAUCAUAUAAGCAGUUCCCGUUAGGAAUUCUGUCUUAACAAGGCUUGACCUUGUCUGGGUGUGCUAAACAUUAUGCAAAAAUCGAAGAUAGAAAUCUAUUAGGAUCUCAGCUAUUUGAAUUUACUCCACUCUUUCACUUUGUUUCCUGCUGUCACACACAGAUUUAAAUCCCAAUGUUAAGAAAAACUAAUUCUAAAAUUUAAAAAAUGAGGAAACAAAGCAUUAUUUAGCUUGAAGUCACAACAAGAACUGUCUGUUCCAAAUCCUUCAUUUGGAAACAGGAUUUUCUCCCCUGUUGUUCUCUAAACCAAAGGCCUUAAGCUGGAGCUCUCUGGCAUAAAUAACUGAAACCAAAUAUAGAUUCCUCCAAAUGCUAUUGGUAAAAAUUGUAAAUAGAAUCUUAAUUAUAAUACAUAUUCAUAGACCUCGGUGACCCAGGGAAAAAAGAAGAUUGAUAGAUUUAUUAUUUGAUAACCCAUUUUUGUUGGUAGAAAGGUGGUGUAUCCUUUCAAUAUUCAUCAUCUUUGUGUAAUCAAUUGGUCUGGUGAGAAUUCACCUCAGUCCACAUCUGUGUAGAGGAAAAAUAUGGUAGAAACUGCCUUAAUUCUGGCCUCCCUUUUACAUCUCCGCUGACACUGUCUAAUGAUCUGUUUCCAAAUUAUUCCCACAGCCUUUGAACUCAUCUUGGUGUUCUCAGAUUCUUACUUCUGCAGCCACCUUCCAUAUUAACAGUCGAUCCCUUAUAACAUCUCUAAGGACAUUCCGAUCUCUAUCUUGGCCCUGUGUUAGAAAACUGAUGCAUACACUCUUUGGCAACAGGAGAGUAUGGGACUCAUUCAAUGAGUUGCCUGUCUUCUCUAAAUAGAUCUUAGCUUAUUGUAGUGAUAUGCUGGAGUUAGAGUACAUCUGUUCAUUAGGAGGGCUGAUUGUGCACAUCUGUUCCCAACUCCCCUUCAGUGACAUCACAUUGCUAGUUUAAAAUAAGGCAUGGUAGGAGUAUUUAUACCAUGGAAAUGGGCAAACACACACACAUCACACUUUUUCCUCUGGAGAGAUGGUUGUUAAACCCUUACCAGAAUGCCACUGAUCAUUUGUCACUUCCUGAUCUCUUAAAUUAAAGCCUAUGGUAUAUGGUUAUGCUAACAUAACCAUGCUCCUCUCCUUUGUAGCACUUACCUUAGUUAUAAGUUGAUGUUCAUUUCCAG
rnacentral:lncRNA from 1 species